GAAUUUUAAUUGUCCAGUAAGAUAGUACCAGGAUAUAUGUGGAGAAAUCACUGGCAAUAUUAUAAGUGGCAAUCAUGAGUUGUCACUUCUGGUUGUUGUUGGCUUGGGUUUGCAGUGGUCCCAUACACAGCUGUUUGUAAAGUCAUAAGCCACGUGAUAGUGUCUGGAAACGUGUCAUUCUUGCAGCUCCUGUGCUUGAUAAAUGCCUGCAAAAUUCCAUCACACUUUUGCAUGGACCUGUUUGGGUCUCAGGGAGAGAAGGUUUCAGCCUCUUAAGAGGAAAGAUUUAUAUCCAAGAAGCUCUAUUGGCCCUGCACCAACGAUUACAAGUCUGCAAACUGUUGCAAGCCGAUGUGAAAUCUCUUCUGGAGGCAAGCGUUUCUUUAUGCUGAAAGGCUCACAUAUAUACAGAAGUUCAGUAUGACGUUGCUGGAUAUUUUCAGCUUUUAAGAGUCUUCAGCUGACAGGGAUAAAUGUACGUUUAUGUG